rnacentral:rRNA from 1 species
AGAGCGAACGCUGGCGGCAGGCCUAAUACAUGCAAGUCGAACGGAUCCUUCGGGAUUAGUGGCGGACGGGUGAGUAACACGUGGGAACGUGCCUUUUGGUUCGGAACAACUCAGGGAAACUUGAGCUAAUACCGAAUGUGCCCUUCGGGGGAAAGAUUUAUCGCCAUUAGAGCGGCCCGCGCCUGAUUAGCUAGUUGGUGGGGUAAUGGCCCACCAAGGCUACGAUCAGUAGCUGGUCUGAGAGGAUGAUCAGCCACACUGGGACUGAGACACGGCCCAGACUCCUACGGGAGGCAGCAGUAGGGAAUCUUGCGCAAUGGGCGAAAGCCUGACGCAGCCAUGCCGCGUGAAUGAUGAAGGUCUUAGGAUUGUAAAAUUCUUUCAGCGGGACGAUAAUGACGGUACCCGCAGAAGAAGCCCCGGCUAACUUCGUGCCAGCAGCCGC